GCAGCCCUAGCGUGACUCGAAAAGAAAAAACCCCGCAGCCCUAGCCCUCCAUUCCUCCUACCCCCCGCCGCCACCCCGUGCUGUGCUCGCAUCCUCUCCGUCCCCCGCCGCCACCCCGUGCUCUGCUCGCAUCCUCUCCGUCGCCAGCACCGCCGCUCGUCCAAGAUGGUGCUGCAGAAGCUCGAGAAGCCCAAGCACAAGAAGAAGCGCCUCGCGCAGUCCCCCAACUCCUUCUUCAUGGAUGUAAGUGCCAGGGCUGCUUCAACAUGUAACUGCAAGAUGAGUUCAUCAUCUUUCCCCCCGCUUUACCCCUGUCUUCCUAGCAAAUGCUCUACAUACACAAUAGCAACAUAAAUUCUGAUGGCCGGUGGAGUGUACUAUUGACCAGAGGAACUGAUAUUAAAAAAAAUUGCUAUGCCUUGGUAAAGAUUAGGUUUCUUUAUGCAAUUUUGACAUAGAGAUGCUGAUGUGUGAGAAGGUCUGUAGAUUUAGGAACAUGUGCAUCUUCUAGUAAUACAGGUGUGCUUCGCUCAUGAUGUGCCCUUGUCGGUCGCCUGUGCUAAUGCUGCCGUUGGUACUGCUCGACUAGUUGAAACAUUCGAGUUAAAUGGAUUGAGACAUGUCAGAUGUCACCUCGUAGGUCAAGCUUACUCAAAACUUCGAGCUGAUUAUACUAAUUUUAAAUUUGAAGAUCAUUCCUCGUCAAAUGUUGGAUCUGCCUCCUUUGAUAGUAUGUUGUUUGUCUGUCCCUGAUUUAUAUAGAUGCUUAUGUACCUACCAAGUUCAGUUAACUUAUUCAUUCGCAAAAAAUAAACUGUAGUUCAGUUAAGUCAUUAUGACUGAUGUUUCCAACUUUCUGUUGUCUUGAUCACAGAACGACCGUGUUCAGCUACUCUCAGACCAUGGUGGUGUGCGCAGGGUGGCAGACGGUGCUCUGCCAGCCUACAGGAGGAAAGCGCGAGGGAUGCUCCUUCCACCGCAAAGGCAACACAAAGGGAGGGUUUGGUUCUCGUAGCAACUUUUGUCUGCAUUGAAUGCUUGACCUAGUUGGGCUUGGCUGAGGAAAAACAGGCAAAAAACCAACAUCUGCGUGUUGUUUGUUUGCCUGCAUACCCUCUAGCUUGCGUGGGCGUAACGAAAGGUGGCCUGUUUGGUUGCUCGCUUGUUUAGACGGAAACACAAGGCAUUGGCGUGUUCCGUAGCCCUCAUAGAGGCCAACCAGGCCCGCACAGGAGGAAAAUGGGUUGUUUGAUUCCCUGUGUUCACUGUUGGGCCUGAAUCGCACGGAACUUAAAGCAGCUCCCAGGCAGGCCCGCUAGGAACGUCCAAAUGGCAGUUUUUUCAAAGUCAGUCCACGGGAUGCACGUGGGCGGCGGUGGCUGCACGCGAGUAGCCACACUCGAGAAGUCGCGUUGUUUUCUGAAGCGCCGACAAUAAUUACCCUCACCUUCCCUCACCGCUCUCUCUCUCUUCACUCUUCCACUCUCACACCGUCAGUGACGGCGAUCAGCGGAUCGGAGAUCAGCAAGGCGACCACCGUCCAGACUUCACUGGUGUCAGCAACAUCAACGACAUCUCUUCGGUAAUGGCGGUAAGCCGUAUUUUCAGCUCCUAACCUACUAUUUCACAUUUGAUCUGCGUUUAGAUUAGAUCCGUGUUCUAGGGGAAUAGGCAAUCAGGGUAAAUAGUCAUAGGAUUGACCAUAACUUAACGAUGAGUACUAAGUAGCCAUGGAUUUUAGGGUUCUGAUCUGGAUUGAGUACAAGGGGAAUGGAGAUUGGGGGUUAAUCUUACACGGUAGUUUCAAAUCUUAGGCCCGGUGACCCUGAAGGUGGUUGGAGUGGUGGGGGCUUUUGGCCUUGUUCUUGUCCUCCGGCUGAUCCACCGUUUUGUCGUCCUCACCAGAGUCGAUUGGCAAAGUAUGAUGGCCUGGCUCCGGCGCCCUGACAACCAUCUCCUCCUCAUGCUCCAAACCGAUGACCUCUGAUGCCACCAAAGUCCUAUUCCAUUACGCUGCGGCAUGCUCGUCAUGAGAAGCUCUCUGUACUUGGCCCACCUUGCCCUUUGUCUACGCUCGCCGGAGUCGGCCUGAUUCAUGGCCCAGCGAAUAUGUUGGGCUGUUGGCUGACAUAGCGCCCUUCGCUAGGUCAGGAAUCAACGUCUUCAACUCCUCCAUCAUCGCCUUCUUCACCAUAGUGUCUGCCCCCUUGUGCAUGUCUACAAUGCUGCUGAAGUUCAAGCACUUCCAUGAUGUUCCCGAACUUGGUGCGGUCACCGAGCGAGCAUUCAAUGCCCCAGGCAUUGGAUGGAGGCCGGAUGCUCGCUCGGUGACCGCACCAAGUUCGGGAACACCAUGAAAGCGUGCUUGAACUUCAGUAGUAUCGAAGGCAUGCAUAAGGAGGCAAACGCUGUGGUCAGGAAGGCGAUGACAGAGGAGUUGAAGACGUUGAUUCCUGACCCAGCGAAGGGUGCUACGUCAGUCUACAUCCUUCGCUGGGCCAUGAAUCAGGCUGACUCCGUCGAUGCUGGACAAAGGGCACGGUGGACCAAGUAUAGGGCUCCUCAAGACCAGUGUGCCUGAAUAAGACUUUGGUGGCGCCAGAGGUCAUUGGUUUUUGAGCUGGAGGAGAAGAAGCGGUGGAGAUGGUGGUCAGGACGUCGGAGCCAGGCCAUCGUAAUUUGCCAAUCGAUUUGGACUCCGGCGACAAUGACAAGACGGUGGUCCAACAGGAGGACAAGAACGAGGCCAAGGGUCCCCACCGCUCCAACCGCCCAAGGGUUGCUGGGGCUAAGAUUUUAAGCUACUGUGUAAGAUUAACCCCCCCCCCCCCCCCCAUUCCUAUUGUACUCAAUUCGUAUCGGAACCCUAAAAUCCAUGGGUACUUAGUACACAUCGUCAAGUUAUGGUCAAUCCUAUAGCUAUUUACCCCGAUUUCCCAUUCCCCUGGGAUGCGGAUCGAAUGCGAAAUACUAGGUUAGGAGGUGAAAAUAUGGCUUGCCGCCAUUGCUGAAGUGCUUCGGGUGAUGUUGCUGACGCUGGUGAAAUUCGGUCGGUGGUUGCCUUGUUGAUCUCCGAUCCGCUGAUCGUUGCAGCCGUCGCCGGUUUGAGAGUGGAAGAGUGGAGAGAGAGUGGUCAGGAAAGUUGAGGGUAAUUAUUGUCGGCGCUUCGGGAAACAACGUGACUUCUUGAGCUCGCGUGCAGCCGCCGCUGCCCACGUGCAUCAUGCGGGCUUGUCUCUGAAAAAAUUGCCGAUUUGAACGUUCCUAGCGGUCCUGGCUGGGAGCUGCUUUAAGUUCUGUGCGAUGCAGGCCCAACAGUGAACACAAGCAACCAAACAGCCAAUUUUCUUCCUGUGCGGGCUUGGUUGGCCUCUAUGCGGGCUACCAAACAUGCCCUAAGCUGUACGCCUGACCUUUGGGGAAAUGAAGCCAUCCAAAUCAUUACUUUCUAAUCGCCGUUGUUUGCUCGUCGGUUUUUGUUAAUUGUUAUGCUUGCCCUUUUGCCAACCUGAACGUUGUAGCAACUCGUGUUGUUGGUCCUGCACUCUGUGUCGCCUGUUGGUCCUUCUGUUUGCCUGUCCAAUCUAGCUAUCUAUGCAAGUUCAAUUUUUAGAAUUUAGUUCUCUCACAGUGUUCAAAAACAUGGAUUGGGCCCUGUUGAUGACCUACGACUGCGAGAGCAUGAUAGUUCCAAGAGAAGCAUUAUUAAUAUAGCAGAAAUCUGAUUGAUCACUAAAGUUCUUAUUAUAAGAUUCAAAACAAUAAUAUGAUUGAACGUUAAUAUAAUACAGGGAAUGCUAUAUCUAUUUUUAUGUAUAGUGAUACAAUGACGACGAAUCCAAGCCGUUGGUUAUCUGAACUCGGAGGUGUCAUUUGUUUUCAGAGUUCCCAUGUUCCGUUCGUCAGCAGUCCACCGAAGAAGAAGACGCCCGCAACAGCCAGCGACUGCGUCACGAUCGCCUUCUCCUUCCUCACCCGCGAGGCUCGUUCUCCCUCCACCGCACUGAAACCCUAGCUAGUUCCACCUAUCUUUGUUUUCUUUUUGUUUCGAUGAAUUGCUUCUUGGUCACUUCGUCUCUGAUCUCAUAACCCUCGGUCGUUUCCGUGAAUUUUUUAGCGGAUACUGUUGUAGGAAGUAACACUGUGGUUACCUACCUGAGGCCAGAAUUAGAGUAGAUCUAGUGGAUUGAUCCGAGUAGGCAAGCAUUUUGACUCAACUAGCUACCUGAUCGCAUACUUAACCAGUGUUCUGUUUUGAUUAGUGAGCAGAUUUGAGUCCCCUGAAAUGAAAUAAAGAAAAACAAAUUUGACCAGAGGAAAGUUGCAUUUCGAAACCUCUGAACAACAUCUCAAUGCAUCGAAAAACGUCGUAUUGGUCAGAGGGAUAGAGCUGCACACACUUGUCGGUUUUAUUUAGAGUGUGCUGCUAGCUGAAAGGUGGCACUAGCAUCCCUUGGUUAUACAUCUUUCUUAUGUUCUGAAUGUACUGAUUUCACACACAAAAUCUUUUGAGUUUAGCAAUUUAACUGAAGGGAGACACCUCUGUAAGCAAGUUUUUUCGCCUUCUGGGUGCAUCGUGUAUUUAUUUAUCCAUGCUUCUUACUCCUGGGGCAUAUUAAGUUUCUUUGACAGACAGGCACACAUGUUUGAUCUGCAAAAUAUCAUGUGCUUAUCCGUGGCUCUAAUUAUUGGUGCUCAUUUUGCACAGAAUAUCAUGCUCUUCCUAUGGCGAUCUCGUCUACUACUGCGACGGAGGUGUUCACCGGUGUGGAGGUUUCAACUCCACGUCUCCCAUCCAGUGCCAAAUGUUGGAGAAAUUCUACCAGAAUGGCAUUCUAAAAGCCCCCCUUGCAUCACCCCCAACUCACAUCUCCUUCUCGUGACCAGUUCCUUCUCUCGGAUGGCUUUGGGAGCUGGUGGUUUGCGCCGGAGGAGGACGGAGAGGCCGGGCGGAAACGAGAGAGGUGGCGCCAGGACUCGCGUGGCUCGUCGGUGAUGGUGGAUCCGCCGUCGCUGUCGGAGGGGUCGGAGGGGGAGGCGGCCGGGCUGCUGCCUCCGCUGCUGGAGACGAGCCGGACUUCCGUCGGCGACCUAGAGGCGCGCGUGCAUGGCGGCUUCCCGCGCGCAGGGGUCGAUCAGUCAACGGAAAAGAAAGGAACUAGCGACCUAUGGCUGGCGUGAGGUGAGGGCAACGAGCGCGUGCAGGAACGGAUUGUGCCUACCGGAGAUGGGGAAGAAGACGUGCACGCGGGGUUGCGCUUUCGCUUGAUUGCCUACCACUGCGGUGAGACAUAUUAUGCUAAGAGAUCAUAUCUUGUCUUAUCUUAAAUAAGAGAAGACAAGCCUUCUCUUAUGAGUUCUCUCCUCCACCUCAUCA